GGACCAGUGGUGUAGCGGUUAUCGCGUCUGUUUUACACUUGCUUACGUAAUCACAGAAGGACGUCGGUUCAAUCCCGACCUGGUUCA
rnacentral:tRNA from 1 species